GGGGAUGUGGCUCAAGCAGUAAUGCACUCGCCUGGCAUGAGCGGGGGUGUUGGGUUCGAUCCUCAGCAUCCCAU
rnacentral:tRNA from 1 species